UAAGGCGCUUGAGAGAACUCGGGUGAAGGAACUAGGCAAAAUGGCACCGUAACUUCGGGAGAAGGUGCGCCGGUGAGGGUGAAGCAUUUACUGCGUAAGCCCAUGCCGGUCGAAGAUACCAGGCCGCUGCGACUGUUUAUUAAAAACACAGCACUCUGCAAACACGAAAGUGGACGUAUAGGGUGUGACGCCUGCCCGGUGCCGGAAGGUUAAUUGAUGGGGUUAGCUAACGCGAAGCUCUUGAUCGAAGCCCCGGUAAACGGCGGCCGUAACGAUAACGGUCCUAAGGUAGCGAAAUUCCUUGUCGGGUAAGUUCCGACCUGCACGAAUGGCGUAACGAUGGCGGCGCUGUCUCCACCCGAGACUCAGUGAAAUUGAAAUCGCUGUGAAGAUGCAGUGUAUCCGCGGCUAGACGGAAAGACCCCGUGAACCUUUACUAUAGCUUUGCACUGGACUUUGAAUUUGCUUGUGUAGGAUAGGUGGGAGGCUUUGAAGCGAGGACGCCAGUUCUUGUGGAGCCAAUCUUGAAAUACCACCCUGGCAACUUUGAGGUUCUAACUCUGGUCCGUUAUCCGGAUCGAGGACAGUGUAUGGUGGGUAGUUUGACUGGGGCGGUCUCCUCCUAAAGAGUAACGGAGGAGUACGAAGGUGCGCUCAGACCGGUCGGAAAUCGGUCGUAGAGUAUAAAGGCAAAAGCGCGCUUGACUGCGAGACAGACACGUCGAGCAGGUACGAAAGUAGGUCUUAGUGAUCCGGUGGUUCUGUAUGGAAGGGCCAUCGCUCAACGGAUAAAAGGUACUCCGGGGAUAACAGGCUGAUACCGCCCAAGAGUUCAUAUCGACGGCGGUGUUUGGCACCUCGAUGUCGGCUCAUCACAUCCUGGGGCUGAAGCCGGUCCCAAGGGUAUGGCUGUUCGCCAUUUAAAGUGGUACGCGAGCUGGGUUUAGAACGUCGUGAGACAGUUCGGUCCCUACCUGCCGUGGACGUUUGAGAUUUGAGAGGGGCUGCUCCUAGUACGAGAGGACCGGAGUGGACGAACCUCUGGUGUUCCGGUUGUCACGCCAGUGGCAUCGCCGGGUAGCUAUGUUCGGAAUAGAUAACCGCUGAAGGCAUCUAAGCGGGAAACUAGCCUCAAGAUGAGAUCUCACUGGGACCUUGAGUCCCCUGAAGGGCCGUCGAAGACUACGACGUUGAUAGGUGGGGUGUGUAAGCGUUGUGAGGCGUUGAGCUAACCCAUACUAAUUGCCCGUGAGGCUUGACCG
rnacentral:rRNA from 1 species